GUUAAGCUGCCCAGUGUCAGCAGCUUCUCAGAACUAGGCAGUAGUCCCCUGGUUGGAGGGAAGGGGUGACAGCCCUGCAGGAUGCAUUCUCUUUUGGGGUGCUGGGAGUCGAACCAGACUCUCCUAUGUGCUAGGCCAGCGCUGUGACGCUGAGCUGCAUUUCCAGAACUUUUGCCGGCAUCCUUCACAGUGAAUCCACGUGUGUAAUUUUACUCAUCAGGACCUCAGAGUGAAGAAGAUUCACUUUUAUAUUAAAGCGAUUAGGCCAGCUAAGCGGUAGUGGAAGCCUGUAAUCCCAGCACUUGGGAGGCUGAGGCAGGAGGAUCUCUGUGUGAAAGGUGCGAAGUGUGACUUUGCCAUUUCAAGACACACACAAGCAGCCAUUGCACCGAGGUGACUGCAGGCAGCGUGGAGAAGCAUUUUGAUUGCAGUGGCUUAGCUGGCUUCGUGCAGAGCUUCACUGGAUGACACCUUGAUCCUGAUAUCGAGAGGGAAAGUGGCAGAAGGGACAUGGGCGCCAUCCAGAUUAUUGUGACACAGGGCAGUGAAUGACAAGGAAAAUGUUUUUAGAUCACAACAAAAGCAAUAAUUCACUGAAUAGGUGCAAUGAAUAUAAGUUCUUGAAUUGUUCGCUAAUUCAAGUAAUAAAAGUUACCGAAGGGCCGGGGAUUUAGCUCAGUGGUUUUGCUGUCUGCUGCGCAAACGCAAGGACCCGAGUUUGAUCCCGGUACCAAAAACAAAAAACAAACAAACAAAAAAGACACUGAAGGGCCAGGGAUUUAGCUCAGAGGUUUCAUCGCCGGCUGCGUAAGCUCAAGGACCCAAGUUUGAUCCCCGGUACCAAAAAAAAAAAAAAAAAAAAAAAAGACACUGAAGCAGAAGAUUUCAAUUUAUGGUUAAUUUACAUAAAAUGUUGACAGAUGGAGUGAAUAUACAGUGAACCCUCAAGUUACGACCGGCCUGACAUAUGAACAACUUGGGUUAUGAACAGAAUGAUAGUUUUUAACUUGCGACCAAGUCUUGAGCCAGCUGCUUCUGUUUCCAGAUGGUGUCAGAUACAGAUGUAACCCUUAAAGAGUCUGGAAGGAACAUGGGAACAUCCUUUCCUGUGUAGGGUUAACUGAGAAAUCCUGGGCUGAUGUCUCUCUAAGGACACUGAGAUCCGCCUGUGUACAGGAGAGAGACUCUGCAGGCUGCGGAGAGGAGGCUGACCCUUCAGUGACCAACCUGAGUUACAACCAGUCUUCUCCAAUGAAUUGAGUUUGUAUGUCAAGGAUCCACUUUAAUCAUAACACACCACGGUGACAGCAAAGCCAAACUGGUUCGUGCAUGUCUGAUUCAGCAUAUUAAUUACAGCAUAAGAAAAUUGAAGCCUGGCAUGGUGGCACACUCCUGAUAUCCCAGCACUCAGGAGGCUGAGGCAGGAGGAUGGCUGUGAGAUCAAGGCCAGCCUGAGCUACAUAGUGAGUUUAAGGUCAGCCUGGACUAUAUAGUAAAACCAUGUCUCCAAGACAAACAAAUACGAGAGAGAGAAAAGGAUAUCCCUAGAGAAGCAGAUGAGAGUUAAAAAUCUUCCUUUGGUUGGUUGUUCUGCUAUUUUACUAUGGGUGCAAAUUUUGAAGAAUAUAGGCAGUAUGUCUGUGAUUGUACAGUUGCAGAGAAAUGUAUUACCACAUCGUCUAGAGAUCUGCUUUUCCAAAUCUGGUACUUACACAUGAUGGAGUACUACUCUGCCAGAAAGAAGGAUAAACUUGAGUCUUUUGUAGGGAA
rnacentral:lncRNA from 1 species